rnacentral:rRNA from 1 species
UGGGGAAUUUUGGACAAUGGGGGAAACCCUGAUCCAGCCAUCCCGCGUGUGCGAUGAAGGCCUUCGGGUUGUAAAGCACUUUUGGCAGGAAAGAAACGUCGCGGGUUAAUACCCCGCGAAACUGACGGUACCUGCAGAAUAAGCACCGGCUAACUACGUGCCAGCAGCCGCGGUAAUACGUAGGGUGCAAGCGUUAAUCGGAAUUACUGGGCGUAAAGCGUGCGCAGGCGGUUCGGAAAGAAAGAUGUGAAAUCCCAGAGCUUAACUUUGGAACUGCAUUUUUAACUACCGGGCUAGAGUGUGUCAGAGGGAGGUGGAAUUCCGCGUGUAGCAGUGAAAUGCGUAGANUAUGCGGAGGAACACCGAUGGCGAAGGCAGCCUCCUGGGAUAACACUGACGCUCAUGCACGAAAGCGUGGGGAGCAAACAGGAUUAGAUACCCUGGUAGUCCACGCCCUAAACGAUGUCAACUAGCUGUUGGGGCCUUCGGGCCUUGGUAGCGCAGCUAACGCGUGAAGUUGACCGCCUGGGGAGUACGGUCGCAAGAUUAAAACUCAAAUGAUUGACGGGGUCAUAGCUGUUU